AAACGAUUGAAGUCAGUCGUACCAGCGGACACGAAAGCGCUCCAUUUCACCAAGAGUUCACGCUUCGUCGACGGUUUUGAGGCUCGCCACGCCAUGUGACCUCUCGACGAGAGGGUUGAUUUCGCGCCAGCACGACUG
rnacentral:rRNA from 1 species